rnacentral:rRNA from 1 species
AACUUUCAACAACGGAUCUCUUGGUUCUGGCAUCGAUGAAGAACGCAGCGAAAUGCGAUACGUAGUGUGAAUUGCAGAAUUCAGUGAAUCAUCNAAUCUUUGAACGCACAUUGCGCCCUUUGGUAUUCCAAAGGGCAUGCCUGUUCG